rnacentral:lncRNA from 10 species
GUCUUUUGUUCAGUUACUUCUGCUCCACUAUUUUGACCAGACAAAUCAUCAUGAGCCAUGUUACUGGCUGCCCUUGCACAGGAUGGGUCUCUCCUGCCAGUCUGCAAGGUGACUCGAUUUGAACCAUCGCUGCUCCUGACCCCUUCUUCCAUCCAGAUAAUCAGGCAGGCAGAGCGCUAGCAACACAUGGCACAGGAGUUAGAGCCUGGCUUUUUCCUUGGAAGGGUGGUGCACUUCCUAGAGUGGGUAGGUCAAAUAGUGAAGAAAGACCUACCUGGCACUGGAUGCUGGGGUGUCAGAGGGCUUAUGUAUACAGCACCUUUGACAUAACUAACUCCAUCUUAGAAAAGACUCCAUUUCAUUUUUUUCUCAGGGCAUUUUGCCAACAAGGAUAAGAUGUUUUGUUUAAUAAACAAAUAAAAACUAAAGACUGCAUCCAACCACAUAAGGACACAGCAAGCACACUCUUCCUCUAGCAGUCCUUACCAGAAGACUCUGUGUCCAUCAAAGUCAGGCCUGCAGUGGCCUGGAACGGCCAUCCUAACUGACACCAUCUUCCGAUCACCCACGAUGACAGUGCGGGCAUCUGCCUUGGAAGACUCUGCCCUCUUUCUUGCGAGACCGAUGGACCAUCAGGCCCAGGCCAGGACUCUUGUGGUCUUCUUCACUACCCCUGGACUGCUUCAUUAACUCUUUCUCCUAUUUCUUUUUCCUCUGAUGUUAAAUGUUACUUUGUUUAUUGUGGAAUGUUUAACCUAUAACAUUUAUAUAUUGAUUAAGUAUACUGUGAUGUAUGGUUUGCAGUAUUGACGGACCUGUGAAGUGGCUUGAGCCUGUGUGCCCACAGCUCUGAAUCCCAAGUGAGCGGGACCUGCUAAGGAGAAUGCCUCCUUGGGAACUCCAUGUAACCUGUGGCUUUUGUGAUUAAAAUAGCAUCAAUAAAAG